rnacentral:tRNA from 1 species
AAGAUUUUAGCUUAAUUAAAGCAUCUGGGUUGCAUUCAGAAGAUGUAAGAUAAAAAUCUUAUAAAUUUUA